AGAGUUUGAUCCUGGCUCAGGAUGAACGCUAGCUACAGGCUUAACACAUGCAAGUCGAGGGGCAGCAUGGUCUUAGCUUGCUAAGGCCGAUGGCGACCGGCGCACGGGUGAGUAACACGUAUCCAACCUGCCGUCUACUCUUGGACAGCCUUCUGAAAGGAAGAUUAAUACAAGAUGGCAUCAUGAGUCCGCAUGUUCACAUGAUUAAAGGUAUUCCGGUAGACGAUGGGGAUGCGUUCCAUUAGAUAGUAGGCGGGGUAACGGCCCACCUAGUCUUCGAUGGAUAGGGGUUCUGAGAGGAAGGUCCCCCACAUUGGAACUGAGACACGGUCCAAACUCCUACGGGAGGCAGCAGUGAGGAAUAUUGGUCAAUGGGCGAGAGCCUGAACCAGCCAAGUAGCGUGAAGGAUGACUGCCCUAUGGGUUGUAAACUUCUUUUAUAAAGGAAUAAAGUCGGGUAUGCAUACCCGUUUGCAUGUACUUUAUGAAUAAGGAUCGGCUAACUCCGUGCCAGCAGCCGCGGUAAUACGGAGGAUCCGAGCGUUAUCCGGAUUUAUUGGGUUUAAAGGGAGCGUAGAUGGAUGUUUAAGUCAGUUGUGAAAGUUUGCGGCUCAACCGUAAAAUUGCAGUUGAUACUGGAUAUCUUGAGUGCAGUUGAGGCAGGCGGAAUUCGUGGUGUAGCGGUGAAAUGCUUAGAUAUCACGAAGAACUCCGAUUGCGAAGGCAGCCUGCUAAGCUGCAACUGACAUUGAGGCUCGAAAGUGUGGGUAUCAAACAGGAUUAGAUACCCUGGUAGUCCACACGGUAAACGAUGAAUACUCGCUGUUUGCGAUAUACUGCAAGCGGCCAAGCGAAAGCGUUAAGUAUUCCA
rnacentral:rRNA from 1 species